AAAGGAGCUCAGCUGCAUGCUGCUUCCCUCCAGCCCUGCAAUGGGCAGCCCAAAGUGGGGGUAGAGAGCUUUCUUCUAUAAUGGAUCUAAAUAGAGAUGCCUUGUUCUUCAAACAUGUUGAGGCUGGCCGAGAGCAUCCUUGAUAGGAUGCAGGUGGAGGAGGAUGGGACCAGCUGCUGGGAAGGAGCUGGGGCCAACAGUGGAGGCUCAAGGUGCACCUGAGAGGAGAGCUGAGGCGCUGCAGCAGGAACAGCCACCAGCACAUCGCUGCGGAUGGGAGGGAGGAAGGGCAGAGGCAGCACAGUGCCCAGCACCCUCAGGGAUUGGGGUGCACCCGGGGUCAUCCUGUGCUCCUUCCCCCAGCGCUGACAUGGGAACGGCCCCAGUGCAGCCACCCACCGCCGCUCACUGUGAUCCAGGGUCCUGAGCUGACCUCGCUCUGCUGCACCCACGCAGGGCAGGGAUGGCUGAAUUACUGCUCCCUGCUGCGCUCUGUACAUCCUCCUCCUGGCCGGGUGGCCUCAGGAUCUGUGGGGCUGGAUGGCUGCGUGCUCUCAGGUCAAACAGUAGCUCCAUUUUUUCCCUUGUGAAGGACCAAGAGCUUGCCUGGUUCCAAGGAAGUAGCUGUGGAUUUUAAUUUAAUUUUAUUUUUUCCCUCCUCCGUUCUUCUUUCUGAAUCUUUUUGGGAUUUUGGGCUCUUAAUGAGGAUGCUUGGACCAGCACAGGGUGCAGCCCCAUGCAGAGGGGUGAACGCCUCUGGAGAAGCAAUGGGAGCAGCACACCAAGAGCUGGCAACCGCAGUGCCUUGGGUCUGAAACUGGGAGCUGUGUCCCUUCACAUCGCAUGGCUGCAUCCUCCCCAGCACAUCCCAUAGGGAUUAGGUGGGAUUCUGGGGGGCGCAAGGCCAAACCGCAGUGAGGGGAACGUCAAGAAAGGGAAAAAUGUCACCCUCAGAAACAAUUAAACUGCUUAAUAAAAUCCGUUGCCUCUCGGAGUGCUCGCUGUUCUUUUCCGUUUGCCUUGGCUCAGCCACACUUACAUCAUGGCCCUAUCGCGGUGCUGCCGAGUGGACGGGUUUGAUUGCACAGGAAACCGGCGCUUUGGCAAACUUCUCUGCCCCGGUAAAGCCAGGCCAAGAGCUUAAUGCCUUUGCUUUGCAGAAAAAAAUCUUCCCUGUCCUUUCCCUCUUUCCUUUCUGCAACCCCUUAACCAUCACCCGCCAACUAGGCGGCCACCCCUCGCAUGCCUCCUGCUCCAAAGCGCCUGAGAUGCAGAUUAAUUCCCCUUAAAUCAUGUUGUUUCACGUCCGUGGACCGUGUGUCCCCUCCCACCCUGUAGAGCUGAAGCACUGGAAGGUGCUGUGUGGAAAUGCAA
ensembl:lncRNA